UACGAGGGGGGCGAGCGUUGUUCGGAAUUAUUGGGCGUAAAGGGUGCGUAGGCGGUUCCGCAAGUCCUGUGUGAAAUCUUCGGGCUCAACUCGAAGUCUGCACGGGAAACUGCGGGGCUUGAGUGUGGGAGAGGUGAGUGGAAUUCCGGGUGUAGCGGUGGAAUGCGUAGAGAUCCGGAAGAACACCGGUGGCGAAGGCGGUCUGCUGGGCAGUAGCUGACGCUGAGGCGCGACAGCGUGGGGAGCAAACAGG
rnacentral:rRNA from 1 species